rnacentral:rRNA from 1 species
GUCCACGCUGUAAACGAUGAUCACUGGACGUUGGUUUGCUUAGCAAAAUCAGUGUCGAAGCUAACGCGUUAAGUGAUCCGCCUGGGGAGUACGGUCGCAAGACUAAAACUCAAAGAAAUUGACGGGGGUCCGCACAAGCGGUGGAACAUGUGGUUUAAUUCGACACUACGCGAGAAACCUUACCUAGGCUUGACAUGUAACUGCUACCGGUAGAAACACUGGGUUUUGUAGAAAUACAGACGGUUACACAGGUGCUGCAUGGCUGUCGU